rnacentral:rRNA from 1 species
GUAGGUGGCAAGCGUUAUCCGGAAUUAUUGGGCGUAAAGCGCGCGCAGGCGGGUUUCUUAAGUCUGAUGUGAAAGCCCACGGGCUCAACCGUGGAGGGUCAUUGGAAACUGGGGAACUUGAGUGCAGAAGAGAAAAGCGGAAUUCCACGUGUAGCGGUGAAAUGCGUAGAGAUGUGGAGGAACACCAGUGGCGAAGGCGGCGUUUUUGGUCUGUAACUGACGCUGAGGCGCGAAAGCGUGGGGAGCAAACAGGAUUAGAUACCCUGGUAGUCCACGCCGUAAACGAUGAGUGCUAAGUGUUAGAGGGUUUCCGCCCUUUAGUGCUGCAGCUAACGCAUUAAGCACUCCGCCUGGGGAGUACGGUCGCAAAGACUG